rnacentral:rRNA from 1 species
CCUACGGGUGGCAGCAGUGAGGAAUAUUGGUCAAUGGACGAGAGUCUGAACCAGCCAAGUAGCGUGAAGGAUGACUGCCUUAUGGGUUGUAAACUUCUUUUAUAUGGGAAUAAAAUGUUCCACGUGUGGGAUUUUGUAUGUACCAUAUGAAUAAGGAUCGGCUAACUCCGUGCCAGCAGCCGCGGUAAUACGGAGGAUCCGAGCGUUAUCCGGAUUUAUUGGGUUUAAAGGGAGCGUAGGUGGAUUGUUAAGUCAGUUGUGAAAGUUUGCGGCUCAACCGUAAAAUUGCAGUUGAAACUGGCAGUCUUGAGUACAGUAGAGGUGGGCGGAAUGCGUGGUGUAGCGGUGAAAUGCUUAGAUAUCACGAAGAACUCCGAUUGCGAAGGCAGUUCACUGGACUGCAACUGACACUGAGGCUCGAAAGUGUGGGUAUCAAACAGGAUUAGAUACCCUUGUAGUC